UGUAGUGCCUGUGUCUCCUCACCGGUCAGGACAUUUAUGGAUGCAGAUCAACACUCUUAGACUCCAGAACUCUGGGGAUCGCCGUACAUUGGAUUUCUUUUUUUAUUAUUAUAAUUUCAUUUUAUUUUAUAUUUUUUGUGGCAAGAAGACCUGAAGAAACAUGCUCUUUUUCAGCUGCCUAUGGGAGAAUAUGUUUUAGUCUGAGAUGGAAUAAUGGCCUUAGGUUUGAGGACCAAAUCUGGAAUGGGAAUUCAGACUUCACGCGUCCUGGUGAGGUUUCUUGUCGUGACAGAUGAGACAUGAGAUCUUCAGCUUCCAGGCUUUCAAGUUUUUCUUCAAGAGAUUCACUAUGGAAUCGUCUCUGGAUGGUGAGUGCUCUUGUUUUAAAAAGUUUUUGCCGUGUUUCAUUCAACCACUAAAAGCUACAUUUGGAUUGCCUGACUUGAACCCCCUACAACAACAUUGAUA